AGAGGAAUCCACGUUAAUUAUUUAUUGGUUACGUCCAUUAUCAACUUUAACUCCCUUGCACCUAACGAACAACUUUAAACAAAAAUGAAAGGCUCCGAUGGAAUAGGAUUGGAAAUUCUUAAAAGACGCCAGCUUCUGGUAUCAGAACUGAGUACAACUUGAGGUGGCAACAGUUAAACAUACCGAUAGCAGGAUAUACAUAGAGUCAGUACAACAAUAGCUGAGUGUGUAUCAAAGAUAACAAACAGAAACCUGUUUUGCAAUAUUGCCAAAGGCUUGGCACUGAUUUAGCAAUAUUUUGUCUGUUGCUAAAGAACCGAGAAAGAACUCUCCUCAUCUUGCUGUUUGCAGACCUGGCGGCUUGCUACCUAUCUGGUUCAAUGUUACCGAUUCUUUUGUUAUUACUUUACAACGAGGAUAAUAAUAAUAAUAAUAAUAAUAAUAAUAACAACAACAACAACUAUAAAAACACCAGAAGCAACGUGGCAUAUUUACCAAAGGAACGUACUUACCUUUCAAACAUGGAUCUUCUAAGUAACCUUCAUUCACCUGUGAAAUAACGGCUUAAGGAUUCCAUUUGCUACAUUUUUCGUCUUUCUUUUCCUCUAUAUCCAUCCACACAUUUAGACACAUCCACUCACACACAUAUACACACACAUACACAAAAG
rnacentral:lncRNA from 1 species